GACGAACGCUGGCGGCGUGCCUAAUACAUGCAAGUAGGACGCACAGUUUAUACCGUAGCUUGCUACACCAUAGACUGUGAGUUGCGAACGGGUGAGUAACGCGUAGGUAACCUACCUAUUAGAGGGGGAUAACUAUUGGAAACGAUAGCUAAUACCGCAUAACAGUAUGUAACACAUGUUAGAUGCUUGAAAGAUGCAAUUGCAUCGCUAGUAGAUGGACCUGCGUUGUAUUAGCUAGUAGGUAGGGUAAAGGCCUACCUAGGCAACGAUACAUAGCCGACCUGAGAGGGUGAUCGGCCACACUGGGACUGAGACACGGCCCAGACUCCUACGGGAGGCAGCAGUAGGGAAUCUUCGGCAAUGGGGGGAACCCUGACCGAGCAACGCCGCGUGAGUGAAGAAGGUUUUCGGAUCGUAAAGCUCUGUUGUUAAGGAAGAACGAGUGUGAGAAUGGAAAGUUCAUGCUGUGACGGACUAACCAGAAAGGAC
rnacentral:rRNA from 1 species